AACGAACGCUAGCGGCGUGCUUAACACAUGCAAGUCGAACGAGAACGGGAUAUAGCUUGCUAUAUUUGUCAGCUAAGUGGCGCACGGGUGAGUAAUGUAUAGAUAACCUGCCCUCUAGAAAGGAAUAACAGUUGGAAACGACUGCUAAUGCCCUAUAUGCCUUUAAUACAUAAGUAUGCAAGGGAAACGCUUUAGUGCUAGAGGAUGGGUCUGUAUGGUAUCAGCUUGUUGGUGAGGUAAUGGCUCACCAAGGCUAUGACGCCUAACUGGUUUGAGAGGAUGAUCAGUCACACUGGAACUGAGACACGGUCCAGACUCCUACGGGAGGCAGCAGUGGGGAAUAUUGCACAAUGGACGAAAGUCUGAUGCAGCAACGCCGCGUGGAGGAUGACACAUUUCGGUGCGUAAACUCCUUUUAUAUAGGAAGAUAAUGACGGUACUAUAUGAAUAAGCACCGGCUAACUCCGUGCCAGCCGCCGCCGUAA
rnacentral:rRNA from 1 species